GUAAGAAGUACUUUUCACCUUCCGCCAUGAUUGUGAGGCCUCCCCAGCCAUGUGGAGCUUACUUUUAAGAAAUGGGAAGAAUGCAAAAAUGGGCCAUCUGCAGCUUUCCAGAGAGACGAUGAAACCCCGUUGUUCCUUGCACAGGGUGGGGUGAGUGGAAUCUCCACUGGCAGGAAGCUGGGCUCCUUCAGAAGCCUCCAACAAUGGGUCUUAGAGAGAAGCAGCUGAAGCAUCUACAAUACCCAGCUCACCUAUACAAGAAAGGGCAGUAUAAGGGACGCUGAACGGAUCUACUAGGAAAACUGAGAAAGUCUAGGAAAACUGGGACUCUGACGAACUGGGACAAGGAACAUAACCUGUUUUAUGUAAAAUAUGCUUAAUCAUACCUUCUCUGCCAACCUCAGAAGGUCAUUAGAGGAAUGAACAAGCAGCUAAAAGGUCUUUUGCAAACUGCAAAUAUGAGGUAGAGCCCUGUAGUGUGCAGAGGUGGGGGUAUGGUACAGAGAGAUGCCUAAAGGAAGCCAAAUUAAAGACUCAAGUAGCUGAACAAGGAGAUACACAAACCAGAUCUUUAGGGCUUUAAAAAAUUAGUUACUAAUGAAUUAGUAAGUUAGACAAGGUUUUGUUUAUAGCCUACUUUUUGCAUCAUGCAGUUUACUAGACACUAUAGAUUCAGAAGAGAAAGACACAGGCCAUGUUCUCAGAGAUGCUGACAGAUUAUACCGAGAAGCCUGUAAAAAGACACACGUUAGUGCAAUAAGGUAAAAGCUGUUGUUUCCGUUACCUAACGCCUCGUAACAAAGUGCCCCACAACCUCAUGGCUGAAAACACCAAUGAGCACUUACUAUCUCUCACAGUUUCUAUGGAUCCAAAAUAGGAGCCACAUAGCUUGGUGGUUCUGGCUCAGGGUCUCUCGUGGGUUACAGUCAAGAUGUUGACCGGGAACACAGUCCUAUGAAGGUUUGGCCAUGGCUGAAGGAUGCAUUGGAGACAAUGGCUCACUUGCACACUGGCAAGUUGAUGUGGUUGAUAUGGUCUGGAUCUGUGUCCUCACCAACUCUCAUGUAGUCCCCAAUGUUGGAGGCGGUGCCUAGUGGUAAGUGGCUGGAUCACGGGGGUGAAAUUUUCAUGAAUGGUUUAGCACCAUUCUCUUGGUGCUGUUCUUAUAAUAGUGAGUUCUCAUGAGAUCUGGUUGCCUAAAAGUGUACAGCACCUCCCUGCUCACUCUCUCUUGCUCCUGAUCCUUGCAGGUGAGACAGCUGCCUUGCUCCCUUUUUUGCUUUCCAUCAUGACUGGAAACUUCCUGAGGCCUCCCCAGAAGCAGAAGUCACUAUACGUCCUGUACAGCCUGCAGAACAGGCUCUCUCUCUCUCCCUCUCUCUCUCUCUCUCUGUAUAUGUAUAUAUAUGUAUAAAUGCAUAUAUAUACACAAACAUAUACACAUGCACACACACAUACAUAUAUAUAAAUUACCC